AUUGCAUGAAAUGUAAAUAUUUUUUUUUUAAUUUUAAGAACAAUGAACGAAAAAAAAACCACAAAAA
rnacentral:ribozyme from 13 species